AAUACCCGAUAGUCCUCGAAUGCUGGAAUGCGUCGAGGACGAAAGCUCCGGUGCCUAAGGAUGGGUCUGCGGCCUAUCAGGUAGUAGUGGGUGUAGCGUACCUACUAGCCUACGACGGGUACGGGUUGUGAGAGCAAGAGCCCGGAGAUGGAUUCUGAGACACGAAUCCAGGCCCUACGGGGUGCAGCAGGCGCGAAAACUUUACAAUGCUGGCAACAGCGAUAAGGGAACCUCGAGUGCCAGGUUACAAAUCUGGCUGUCGAGAUGCCUAAAAAGCAUUUCAUAGCAAGGGCCGGGCAAGACCGGUGCCAGCCGCCGCGGUAACACCGGCGGCUCGAGUGGUAACCGUUAUUAUUGGGUCUAAAGGGUCUGUAGCCGGCCGGAUAAGUCUCUUGGGAAAUCUGGCAGCUCAACUGUCAGGCUUUCAGGAGAUACUGUCUGGCUCGAGGCCGGGAGAGGUGAGAGGUACUUCAAGGGGUAGGGGGUGAAAUUUUUGUAAUCCUUGAAGGACCACCAGUGGCGAAGGCGUCUCACCAGAACGGACUUGACGGCAAGGGACGAAAGCUAGGGGCACGACCCGGAUUAGAUACCCGGGUAGUCCUAGCCGUAAACGAUAACUCGCUAGGUGUCGGCCACGGUGCGACCGUUGUUCGUUGCCGUAGGGAAGCCGUGAAGCGAGCCACCUGGGAAGUACGGCCGCAAGGCUGAAACUUAAAGGAAUUGGCGGGGGAGCACCACAACGGGUGGAGCUUGCGGUUUAAUUGGAUUCAACGCCGGAAAUCUUACCGGGACCGACAGCAAUAUGAAGGCCAGGCUGAAGACUUUGCCGGAUUAGCUGAGAGGUGGUGCAUGGCCGUCGUCAGUUCGUACUGUGAAGCAUCCUGUUAAGUCAGGCAACGAGCGAGACCCACGCCCACAGUUGCCAGCGUACUCUCCGGAGUGAUGGGUACACUGUGGGGACCGCCGCUGCUAAAGCGGAGGAAGGAAUGGGCAACGGUAGGUCAGUAUGCCCCGAAUAUCCCGGGCUACACGCGAGCUACAAUGGUUGGUACAAUGGGUAUCUACCCCGAGAGGGGAUGGCAAUCUCCUAAAACCAAUCUUAGUUCGGAUUGAGGGCUGCAACUCGCCCUCAUGAAGCUGGAAUCCGUAGUAAUCGCGUUUCAAC
rnacentral:rRNA from 1 species